ACAGAUUUGAAAAGGAAUUUUUUUUUUCCUUUGGGCUGCUGGAGAGCAGGUUAAACUGAAAACAGUUAGAGGUUUGGUUUUUUUCUCCUCUGCUUUGGGGCCAGAGCAGAGACAAAAGGGAAUUGUAUUUUGUUAGCUGGAGUUCUCUACCUAAAGGGAAGAUAGUUAACCUCCUGCAGGGAAAUUCACCAGUCUUCACAGACCGGAAGUUUGUUGUUUGUUGGUUUUUUUGUUGCCUAAGAGAAACUGGAG